CUCAGCUCAGAGUGGUAGAGAACACUGGCCCCCUCCAAAAAACAAGAUGGUUUUGCAAUCGCUAAUAACCGUGCUAGACGACUUGUUGCCUCAACAAUGGCAGCUCCUAAUAACCGCCCUCCUCGUCUCCAUCCUCCUCGCAGCAUCACGGCGCAGGAGCAUUAUCAGCACGAAGAACCACCGCCUGCCGCCGGGGCCUGCUCGGCUGCCGAUCCUCGGCAACCUUCACCAGAUGGCCGGCGCCCUGCCGCACCGUCGCCUCCGUGACCUCGCGCGGCGUCACGGCCCCGUGAUGGCACUGCGUCUGGGUGCGGUGCCCGCCGUGGUGGUCUCCUCGGCGUCGGCGGCGCGCGACGUGCUCCGGACGCACGACGCCGACUGCUGCAGCCGCCCCGACCCCCGACACGCCGGGGCCCCGCCGGCUGUCGUACGAGCACAACGGCGUGGCCUUCAGCCCCUACAGCGAGCGGUGGCGCGAGCGGCGCAGGCUCAUGGUCGCCGAGUUCCUCAGCAAGCGCCGCGUCCAGGACACCUGGCACGCCAGGGAGGCCGAGGUGGACAAGCUCAUCGGCCGGCUAGCCGGCGCCGGACGGGAGCGGCCCGUGCUGCUGGAGGAGCACGUGUUCGCGUACAUGGACGGUAUCGUGGGCACGGUGGCGUUCGGCAACGUCUACGGCACGGAGCACUUCGCGUACAAGGAGCACUUCCACCACGUGAUCGACGAGGCCAUGGUCGUGCGGUCAAGCUUCUCCGCCGAGGACUACUUCCCCAAUGCGCUCGGCCGCCUCGCCGACCGCCUCGCCGGCGCCGCCGCGCUCCGCGAGCGCGUGUUCGCGGAGUUCGACGCCUUCUUCGAGAUGAUGCUCGAGCACCACCUCGACCCGUCACGCGCCAAGCCCGACAAUGGCUCCGGCCUCAUCGACGUCCUCAUCGGCCUCAUGAAGGAGCACAGGUUAAGCAGAGAUGCCGUCAAGGCACUCCUAACGAACACGUUCAUCGGCGCCGUCGACACGGGCGCGGUGACCAUUGUUUGGGCAAUGGCGGAGCUGGUCCGGAACCCAAGCCUGCUGAAGAAGGUGCAGGGCGAGAUCAGAUCCAUGGUGGGCGACGACAAGGAUCGGGUGCACCCCGACGACGUGCCCAAGCUCAGGUACCUGAAGAUGGUGGUGAUGGAGACGCUGCGGCUGCUGGUGCCGAGGGAGGCGCUGCGGGACAUGAAGGUCGCCGGCUACGACGUGCCGGCGGGGGCGAGGGUGUUGGUGAACGCGUGGGCGAUCGGGAGGGACCCGGCGAGCUGGGAGAACGCCGAGGUGUUCGACCCGGGCAGGUUCGAGGGGGAGGUCGGCGGCGGCGGCGGCUUCAGCCGGGCGCGGUUCGAGUUCCUGCCGUUCGGCGCCGGCCGCCGGAUGUGCCCGGGGAUCGACAUGGGCGUGGCGACGACGGAGUUCACGCUGGCGAACCUGCUCUACUGCUUCGACUGGGAGCUUCCCGAUGGGGUGGGGAGCGAGGACGUCAGCAUGGAGGAGGCCGGAGGGCUCACUGUCCAUAAGAAGACGCCGCUCCUGCUUGUGCCGACCAGGUACAAGUGGCGGCGCUGAUCGAUCUUAGUAAACGUGUCACUCAUGCGGCCCUAGCGUAAGUUAUAGUUUGAACUAUAAACAAAUAAAGAAUGGAGCCACAAAAGAAACUACAGGUCAAUUUCAUUCUGUUUCAAGGCUUUGUGCUCUUAAAUAUGUACUCAUGGCUCAUUGAUGUUUCUGUUUCAGUGUGUUCGUUUACUCCUCCUUUGGAACCUGAAUUCCACCUUUCUUUUGAGCCUUCGAAAACUCGAUGGAAUUCCGAACACUUUGAAACUUUAAAAAAGAACCUUGUUCUGGUUGGGCAAAGUAUUCCUGCACAUGGCUUAUUUGAAUCCGCUUUCGGAAAAAGGGAAUGUUUGAAUUUGAACCAAGUUUACCAUUCCAAAUCUUGCUUGACGCUGAUUGGGCCAAACCAAAAAAGCAAUUGAAAAUCCCACAAAACGGGCUGGCCCAGCUCAGCAGAGAGAGCAAAGCCCAUUUUAAGCUCCGGCUGCUGCCUUCUACUCCACUGUCCUCUCCCCUCCCCUCCCCUCCCCUCCCCUCCGUCGAUGGCGGCGGCGCGCCGGAUCCCCAGCGCCCCGACGGCGCAGCCCGUCCUCCCCGACGAGAUCCUGGAGGAGAUCUUCCUGCGCCUCGACGCUGCGGCCGACCUCGCCCGCACCUCCGCAGCCUGCUCCUCCUUCCGCCGCCUCAUCUCCGCGCGCCGGUUCCUCCGCCGCUUCCGGUCCCUCCACUCCCCGCCCGUCCUCGGAUUGCUCGACGACGAAGGGUACGGAGGAUCCCGCCUCCCCGUCGAGCGAUUCAUCCCCAUCGAGCCUCCCCACCGCUCCGCCCCGGCGGCCCGCGCGCUCGCGCGUGCCGCAGACUUCACCUUCUCCUUCCUCCCCGACGCCUGCUCGUGGCGGCCCCGCGACAGCCGCGACGGGCGCGUCGUCCUCUCCCGGCGCGUCGCCAAUGCAGCCGCCUUUGAUGACCUCGUCGUCUGCGACCCCUUGCACCGCCGGUAUGUCAUGAUUCCUCCCAUCCCCGACGACCUAACGGCCUCCAUCACAAAACUUGGCAAGAAUUUCGAACCCUUUCUGGCUCCAGCCGGCGACGGCAAAGAUGAAAAAUUGAAGGAUGAGGAGGAAUCGUCAUUGAGAGUUAUCUGCACUGUGAGGUUCGAAAACAAGUUCAUAGCCUUCUUCUUCUCUUCGGCCAACCAGAAGUGGGGACUCAUCACUUACCACAGCUCGAGCUCUUUUGGAUACAGGCGCUGCUAUGCGCAUGGCUGUUUCUUCUGGGUGGUUGAUUCAAAUGGAUAUGCACUUAUGCUUGACACACGUCAGAUGAAAUUCUCCAUCAUUGACCUCCCUCCAAACAAUGACGUUUCGAACAUAUUUGCCUUUGUGGAGGCAGGGGAAGGCAGGCUUGGGUUGUUAACUCUUGUUGGCAGCACAAUUGACCUCUCUUGCAAGAUUUGGCGAAAUAAUGGUGCCGGUGCAGAAGGGUGGCAGCAUUGCAAGAUGAUUCCUUUGCCCAAAGACUGUGGUGGGAUCAACUAUAUUUGGUACAUUAUGGGUGCAGCAGAGCGCUACUUAAAUCUACUAGCGCUUCACAUGGUCCAUCGUGAAUCGCCCGCACAGUAUUUUAUAUUGGACAUCAAGACAUUGCUUUUGGAGAGGCUCUGCACACUUAAUGCUAGAGCGUUUUUAGUAUCUCAUCUGUAUGCAAGCUUUCCACCACUGUUGGCACCGCCAAGUUUAUGAAAUGUAUCCUCUCGUGAGUUCUCAAGGUGGCAGUCUGGCAGAGCAGCAUAGUUGGCAACAUGGUCAUGGAUGGCUUAACAUAUUGUGCAAGACAUCAGCAACUACUGGUGUUUAUGACAUAUUGACAUAUGUAUGUAGUACGAUCAGCUGUUCUGUAGCGGUUUAGUUUCUGCAAUCUUAUUCCUCCUGUUUGCCUUUUUGCCCUGAUUUGUGUUUGUAAUCUGUACUCAUGGCUUGUUGAGGUUCCUGGUACAAUUCCAAAGAAGACAAACAAACGGUUACACAACUGGCUUCUAGCA